AACAUAGAGGAAAUUCCACG
rnacentral:miRNA from 2 species